UCUUUAAAAUGACAUGGGAUUUUAUAACUAGACUAAUUUCAUGCUACACAAUAUUCGCCCUAUAAUAAAUGCCUCAAGCUUAAUUUUUUUGAAUAUUUUCCGCCAAAAAUAAUAAGAUUCAUAUAUUUAUCAAUGACGCUUAAAAUAACUGCAGAUCUGCACGAUGUAGUAAGAUUGAUCUCAUGUCAAAUCUUCUUUCUUGGUACUCUCUUUUCAUCACUCUUUUUUCUUGAUGCUUUUCUUUACAUAUCUCUUUACCAAUUUGGGUUAUGAGAUUGUAGUUUAUUUUUUUGGCAGAAAUUUUGUUGUGGCUCAUUGGUUUAUCCUUUAUCAAAUUCAUAUUGCAGUGGUUAGGAAUUGAUGAAAGAUUAAGAAGAAAAGUUAGGACUUUAUGCAAAUCUCUCAAUUAAAAUCUAUUGCUUGAGAGGUGGUUAUUUAGGUUUAGGCGAUGGAAGCCACUAAGAUGGUGAAGCAAUAUAACAAUGGAAGGGGGAGGUUGAAAUUGCAAAGAUGAAUCUGGCUUGUGCCUACAGUGCAGCAACCAUAAAGAAGAUUAAGGAAACUAGCGGUGUUGAAACUAAAAAUAGCGGUGAAAUUGAUUUCGUGUUUCUCGUGGAAAUUGACUUCGUGGUAAAUAGUUGUGCUCAUAUAUAUAAACCACUUGAUGAAGUGGUCCAUAUUAGAAUUUACCAUCUUUAUACUGACAUGCAAUUUUAUAACUAGACUAAUUUCAUGCUACACAAUAUUCGCCCUAUAACAAAUGCAUCAAGCUUAAUUUUUUUGAAUAUUUUCCGCUAAAAAUAAUAAGAUACAUAUAUUUAUCAAUAACGCUUAAAAUAACUGCAUAUCAGCACGAUGUAGUAAGAUUAAUCUCAUGUCAAAUCUUCUUUAUUGUAUUUGAAAAUUUUAUAAUGAGCUUUAAUUUUUAUUUUUUUUUUACUUUUAUUUUUAAUUUGUAUGAUAGUAUAAGAGAAGUUGCUACUAUUAAAAUGAAAAAUAUCACCCAACAAGUUCGGUAUUAUUCAUAUAAAUAAAUUGUCAAUAAUAAAUAUUACAAUUAUAACUAUUAGACACGAGACAACAAUCUUUAUACCAACCAAUAAUAUAACAAGACUAAUUUCAUGCUACACACAAUAUUUGCCUAGAGGCACAGUUAUUAUACUAAUAAAUCAUAAAAACAUCAAUAUAAUUAUUUUUAAUAAUUAAUUUNNNNNNNNNNNNNNNNNNNNNNNNNNNNNNNNNNNNNNNNNNNNNNNNNNNNNNNNNNNGUCUCUCAAAUAUUUUGUGUCAUAACUUUUGAUUCCUAUUUUUUAGUCAAGUCAUCAUAUAUAUAUAAUUUCAUAUUUUUUAAUGAGUUUUUGUAAUUUUGUUUAUAGUAGUGUGAAAAUCUCUACAACAAAAAAUUUUUAAGCGGCAAAAAUUUAAAAAUUCAUAUCUAAUUUGUCUCUUGUUAAAAAAAUUAAAUUUUGUGGGAGAGGUUUUUAUAUUAUUAUAAACGUAAAUACAAAAACUCAUUAGAAAAUACGAAAGUAUGGAUCAGAAAUUAAUAUUUUAAAAGAGAGGUUUGUAUAAUUGAUUUAACAUGACUGCAUAAAAAAAAUAAAAAUAUCAAGUAAUAUAGAUGAAUUGACAAAACAAAACAAAAUACUAGAUGAGUUGACUUAAAAGUAGGGACGGAAAAUCAUUCGAAAAAUUUGCUUAAAUUUUUUUAUAGGGGUUAAAAUCAAUUUGUCAUAUUUAUAAGGACCAAAAUUUUAUUUAACCCUAAAAAUUAAUAUGAAAAUAUGGUAUGGUAUUUGAAUUUUGUAUAAAAAUAUAAAUACCAAACUAAACUUUGAGAUAUCAUAGUUUACCGAAUUUAAAAACGUUGAUAAAAAUUACUUACCACUAGUUAUAGUAAUGAAUACGGAAAAAAACAUAA
rnacentral:lncRNA from 1 species